rnacentral:lncRNA from 12 species
AAAUCGACCUAUGUCCCAAAUCACCACCAUGAACUAAAUUUAAGCCUAGUGGAACUUUAUUUUUUUUUCCCUUUCUCUUCUGCACCUGCAUAAUGGACGUGACCCUUCACAGCUCUAUCAAUAAUAGAAAUAAUGAGCCCUUCUAUUCAUUUAAUCAUCAACUUUCUCACAAAGGCUCUGUGAAAUUGUAGGUAUUACUGACUUUGAUUUUUCCAGGGGUUUGUUGCCCUCUGGUUGCGUAGGUGAUACUUAGAGAGUUACAGUCUCUCCUUGGGAGGGUCAUUUAGUACUUUGAAGCCCAUAGUUUAAAAGAGGAUUUUUUUUUUUUCACUAAAGAAAGACUAAGCCAGGAGAAGAAUUGAAAGUAAAUUGUUCAUUUUAAAUGCAGUAAGAACCUUACAAGAGGAAGAGCAGGGUCACCCUACCAUGGCUGCGAGGGCCAGCCUAGGGGCCUGCACGGUGGGCCCUGCCCUGGGGCUGCCAGCUUGCCUCCUGCUUGCUUUGUCUGCUACAGAGAAUGGGCUUUGUGCAGAAAGAUGUGUUGAAAAUAUGUUUGGAAUCCUGAUCUUAAACGUACACAUGAAUAAAGCCAAAAUUAGACACGUCGCAUGGGUAAGCAUUGCCUGUGAUGUUGGAAAUAGCAUGUUAAAAGGUCAUCAUAUGCUCACAGUUUUCUAGAAUUGAAAAUAUCUUGGAGAGAAUUUCUUUCAACUUUGUCGGAUUCUUCCAACUUUCUUGGAUAAAGAAAUGGAGGUUUAGGGAGGCUAAAUGACUUUCCCUAGGAUGUUGUUGGCAUGUUUUGUGUUCCUUAACACAUAAACUGUUUAGUUAAUGGGAGGGCAGUUAU